rnacentral:rRNA from 1 species
GAUGAACGCUGGCGGCGUGCCUAAUACAUGCAAGUCGAACGGUAAGGCCUCUUCGGAGGUACACGGGUGGCGGACGGCUGAGUAACGCGUAGGAAUGUACCCCAAAGUGAGGAAUAACCUCGAGAAAUCGAGGCUAAUACCGCAUGUGCUCUAAGGAGUAAAGCUUUAUGCGCUUUGGGAACAGCCUGCGUAAGAUUAGCUUGUUGGUGAGGUAAUGGCUCACCAAGGCGACGAUCUUUAGCUGGUCUGAGAGGAUGAUCAGCCAGACUGGGACUGAGACACGGCCCAGACUCCUACGGGAGGCAGCAGUAGGGAAUUUUCCACAAUGGACGAAAGUCUGAUGGAGCAACGCCGCGUGCAGGAUGAAUGCCCUUGGGUUGUAAACUGCUUUUAUAUGUGAAGAUAAUGACGGUAGCAUAUGAAUAAGGAUCGGCUAACUCCGUGCCAGCCGCCGCCGUAA